rnacentral:piRNA from 1 species
UAGACGUGAUUUAUUUGCAUCUACUGUGC